UGCGUUGGGGGCUGCCCAUGGCCGUGUGUCCUCCCGCAGCGCGUGCCUGGAGGAGUGCAAGCUGGACAGGGAGCGGAUCGAGCAGUUCUGCACUGAGUACCAGAAAAACCGGGAGGCACUGGAGGAGCUGCUGGGGAGCAUAGGCCGGGCCCCCCCACACGUGACGGAUGUGUCCUGGCGCCUGGCGUACCGCAUCCAGGUAAGGACGGGGGGUACAGGGUUGUGGGAC